AUGAAUAAGAAAUGAACAGUUCGAGUAGUAUCUACAAAUAUUACCGAAAACAUUGUUAAAAUACUUCUACGAGAGGGUUUUAUUGAAACUGUUUGGAAACAUCAGGAACGUAACAGAUAUUUCUUGGUUUCAACUUUACGACAUCAAAAGAGAAAGACUAGAAAAGGAAUAUAUAGAACAAGAACCUUUUUAAAGCGUAUCAGCCGACCCGGCUUACGAAUUUAUACCAACUAUCAAGGAAUUCCUAAAGUUUUGGCUGGUCAUUCUUUGAGAAUCAGAAGGAUCCUUUUCGAGUUUCCAUUUCUUCAUUUGGAAUCUGGGCUCUUCUAUCUUCGACUUAUUUUUUUGGCUUUAUUCUUUAUUUAUUUCAUUUCGAUUUUCCCUCUUCCUCUAUCCCUAUCCUCUAGGUACAGCGUUUGCAUCAAUAGAGAACUUUUUCCUCUGUAUGAAUCUAUAUUAUUCCAUUCCAAUUUCUUCCCGAAACUUCCCAAGAAAAAUCCCGAAUUGGAUCCAAAAUUGAUGGGUUAA
rnacentral:rRNA from 1 species